rnacentral:lncRNA from 1 species
UCAUUAGUUUGUAAUUUUCUUUUUUGGUUGUAGAUUUGGUUUGGAGGAUUAAUUUGUCGAUAGUGAGUCUUCGGCGAGAUGUCGACAAUGAUGAUAGGAUUCUUUUAAUGUUUUUUCUUUCAAUUUUGGUGUUUUGUUUUUUCAUCUUCUUGUAAGGUUUUUCAAAAUUAGUGUGCUGGUUUUUAAUUUUGUUCUUCCAUAUUUUGUAAGUUUUUCCACCAAGAUUUUGCAUUGUGAAAGGUGGAGUGGGUUGUAGGGAUAAAGAGUGAAGAAAAAGAGGGAAAAGAAUAUUUUUACAAAACUAAAUGCUUUUCAUGUGCUAAGAAUGAGUGCACACACAAUGGG